CGAAGGGGGCGAGCGUUGUUCGGAAUCACUGGGCGUAAAGAGUGCGUAGGCGGUUAUGAAAGUUAGGAGUGAAAGCCCAGGGCUUAACCUUGGAAUUGCUUUUAAAACUACAUAACUCGAAUUCGGGAGAGGAUAGCGGAAUUGUCAGUGUAGCAGUGAAAUGCGUAGAUAUUGACAGGAACACCAGUGGCGUAAGCGGCUAUCUGGACCGACAUUGACGCUGAGGCACGAAAGCGUGGGGAUCAAACAGGAUUAGAUACCCUGGUAGUCCACGCCGUAAACGAUGUGUGUUUGUCGCUGGGGAGUUUACUCUUCGGUGACGGAGCUAACGCGUUAAGCACACCGCCUGGGAAGUACGGUCGCAAGAUUA
rnacentral:rRNA from 1 species